AAUGAACGCUGGCGGCGUGCCUAACACAUGCAAGUCGAGCGAGAAAGUGGCUUCGGCCAUGAGUACAGCGGCGAACGGGUGAGUAACACGUGGAUAACCUGCCUGGAAGUGGGGGAUAACUCGGGGAAACCUGAGCUAAUACCGCAUAAGCCUUCUGGAUUGCGGUCCAGAUUGGAAAGGUUGCCUCUUCUUCGAAAGCUAUCGCUUCCAGAGGGGUCCNCGCCUGAUUAGCUAGUUGGUGAGGUAAUGGCUCACCAAGGCGACGAUCAGUAGCCGGCCUGAGAGGGUGAUCGGCCACACUGGAACUGAGACACGGUCCAGACUCCUACGGGAGGCAGCAGUGGGGAAUAUUGCGCAAUGGGGAAACCCUGACGCAGCAACGCCGCGUGGAGGAUGAAGGCCUUCGGUCGUAAC
rnacentral:rRNA from 1 species